ensembl:lncRNA
GCAUAUACUCAGCUAAUCAACAAUGAAAUUACCACCUGACAGAGUGGCAUGUGAAACUGCAAAAUCUAGCCUACUGGACAAACAAAACAUGUACUCACAGUUGGCUUCAUGCCCCGAACUGAAGACAGAAAAAUGCCCACAACAACUGACAUUUGUUCUCUGUCCAGCAGCUACAUCUGUGGUAAUAAAUCUGAUUGAUGCAGAAUCUUGCAAGGAUAUUUGUUUUAGAAAAAUCAAGCUCGUGAUGGUGACAUAAACAAACAAAACCGACCCCCGCUGUGACAAAGUGCAGGAAUUGAGAGUCACUAAUAAGGGAUGUGUUUGAACAGAAGCAGAGCUCUGGGACGUGUGGACAGACUUUCACUGUAAUGAUGGACAUCCGCUCGUGGACAGAAGUAUAACCCCUGCUGGACAUCAUGCCAAGGCUCGGGGGGGACCCGAAUCGUCCCCAUCCCUUCAUUCACACAACACUCACUCAUAUCGCGGAGAUCUGGCUGGGAUCAAACCAGCAACCUCUGAACCGUGAGGCAGUGCUCUUACCUGUGAGCCACAGAUCUCUUGUCUGAACACGUGAAGGAACUUAUAUUUCACUGUUCACCUGCAUGUGCUUUUACAAUAAACCAGUUAAAGUUAUCAUUUGGCUGAUUGUUGUCUGAACAGACUGUGGUGGGAUUUGAACCCAUGCCUCAAUUGCAGCCGGAGACAUGAACUUAACCACUA